UACAGAGGUCUCAAGCGUUGUUCGGAUUCAUUGGGCGUAAAGGGUGCGUAGGUGGCGUGGUAAGUCGGGUGUGAAAUUUCGGAGCUUAACUCCGAAACUGCAUUCGAUACUGCCGUGCUUGAGGACUGGAGAGGAGACUGGAAUUUACGGUGUAGCGGUGAAAUGCGUAGAUAUCGUAAGGAAGACCAGUGGCGAAGGCGGGUCUCUGGGCCGAUACUGACGCUGAGGAGCGAAAGCGUGGGGAGCGAACAGG
rnacentral:rRNA from 1 species